rnacentral:rRNA from 1 species
UGGGGAAUAUUGGGCAAUGGGCGAAAGCCUGACCCAGCAACGCCGCGUGAGGGAAGAAGGUUUUCGGAUUGUAAACCUCUGUCCUUGGGGACGAAGAAAGUGACGGUACCCAAGGAGGAAGCCCCGGCUAACUACGUGCCAGCAGCCGCGGUAAUACGUAGGGGGCAAGCGUUGUCCGGAAUUACUGGGCGUAAAGGGUGCGUAGGCGGUUUUUUAAGUCAGAUGUGAAAUCCCCGGGCUUAACUCGGGUGUUGCAUUUGAAACUGGGGAACUAGAGUGCAGGAGAGGGAAGCGGAAUUCCUAGUGUAGCGGUGAAAUGCGUAGAUAUUGGGAGGAACACCAGUGGCGAAGGCGGCUUUCUGGACUGUAACUGACGCUGAGGCACGAAAGCGUGGGGAGCAAACAG